CCUACGGGAGGCUGCAGUAGGGAAUAUUGCUCAAUGGGGGAAACCCUGAAGCAGCAACGCCGCGUGGAGGAUGAAGGUUCUCGGAUUGUAAACCCCCUUUUGUAGAGAAGUUAAUGACGGUAUCUAACGAAUAAGCACCGGCUAACUACGUACAAGCAGCCGCGGUAAUACGGCGGGUGCAAGCGUUACUCGGAAUGACUGGGCGUAAAGAGCGCGUAUGGGGGAUAGCAAGUGAGACGUGAAAAAGUCUGGCUUAACCAUCGAACUGCCGUGGAAACUGGUAUUCUAGAGUGUGCGAGAGGGAGGCGGAAUUCUUGGUGUAGCGGUGAAAGGCGUAGAGAUCACGAGGAAUCCUGAUUGCGAAGGCAGCCU
rnacentral:rRNA from 1 species